rnacentral:misc_RNA from 1 species
AACAUCGCGCACCUGCGGGAACCUGCGGAAGGAUCAUUAUCGAGUGUAAUCUACCCCUUUAAAAAAGGGUAGUACCUCCCGUCCUUUGCAGGCCUCUUUUUUUAUUAGGGGGGGCUUUUUAAGACUUUCUGCUUCGGCGGGGUUACUCCCGCCGGAACACCCUCAAAAAAUUCUCGAAAAAAAUCGUUCAGUCCGAGAACUUUUUAAAAAUAAAAUAAAACUUUUAACAACGGAUCUCAG